CUUUCUGAAGCUAUGAUGGGAAAUAACGCGGCGUUUCCAACAAGUUACCAUGGUAACAAAAUGGUACAAAUAGACGUCACUUUGGUGUUUACAUACUGAGUGCUGCUAAGUGAUAAAUCAGUCAAUAAAUCGGAUACAAAAGGCGCAGUUGUUUGUAGCAUUGCACCAGCUACGAUGGAGAAUCACGACGGCAAUGCAUGGGUUUUCGAUUCGCUGGUGGGGUUCCUACAUGGACCCGUUUGGAACGUUCCUCUGCAGACGUUUAUUGAAGAGAAAUCUUUGCCGUUUGAGCCAACUGAUAAUGGCGAUGUACCGGACAGGCCGGAAUACAAAAAGGUUCACGAUGAAUACCGCAAUUUAGUGGACGUAAUGCUAGGCUCUUUCAUGGACGACAUUGGCAUCACCGCCGACCAAUUCGAGGCAGCUUGCCGUCUGUCAGCUCGCGACCUCGCUGGCCUGCCCGCUCACUUCCACCGAAGGCUCUUCGAGCAAAUCUGGGCCGCCAAUGAUUACGAAAUGUUCGUCAAGAUGAUGACUCAUAAGAACGUCGAGUUGCAGUUACAGGCGCUUGAAUUAAUUGAGCGACGUUUUGGAGCAAUGCCUAAUUUGUUUUCAUCUGAAGCAGAAGAGUUCGAUUCCCCGCGCAGCGAAGAAAGCGGCGACUGGCCGGACAACGACGAUGUUAUGACUGAGAUCAAAAAACUGCAACUGGACGAUUUAGAAACAAAAGACGAGAUUGUGAGUGUUCCUCCCGUGGAAGUGGUGGCUGAAAAGAAGACUCUUCUGUCCAAGCUUCAUAGCUUUGAGAAGAACGAUGAGAAGACUUUCAUUAAAGAGGAAUCUCCACCAGUCAAGAAGCCUGUUGCUAUUGUUGAGCCGCCGAAACCACCACCUAAGAAAGUUGAGGUCAGUGAGGAAGAAAUUCGUGCUCGACAGGAAUAUUUGAAACAGCAAAGAGAUAAGCUGUUGGCGCUGAAGAAGCAGGUUCGGGAGAAGAGAUUGGGCGAGGCAGAGACUGCUACAGAAUCUGGAGGCGGCGAAGGUUCAUUCACCAGUGUGUCUCGGCCAAAGUCCGCGCGAGUUGCGCACGCGGCGUUGGCGGGCACCCCUCCCCCUCCCGCCCCGGACGCGAUGCAACUGCGGAGGGCGCUCGCCUCCAAACUUAAGACUGAGGUUGUUGACUCCAACCACUAAAUGACUCAUUACAAUGUGUAAGGCAUGAUCUCACUUUUAACUUAUUUAAUUAUAUGGUGUUGCACGAUGUGUCGCUAUUUUAAUGAAUUUUAAAUGUCAGAAAACUUAAUAUCAUAGUUUACGUACACGAUAUUUAACUUUGCAAGUUAAGGGGUAAAAAUAAAAGAGAGAUUACUUUUGUAUCUUAUAUUAUAUUGCUUACUUAACUAGUGACAUCAUAAUAAUAGCAUUAAGCUUAUUUAUUUUACACAACUUGCCAAUAGGUAAAUCUAUUUAAUUUUAAUCUGUGUAUAAAUUAGUUUAUGAUGGUCACCCACCUAGACAGAUAAAAAAUAGUCAUUAUUACAGUCUACUUUCACCUAGAACUUCGUUUAAUUAUGGGGAAGUUAUUUCAAGGAAUAUAAUAAGAAUCGUAUAAAUCUAAUUGACAGCUCGAUGCUAUUAAACACGUGGAUGUUGGCAGAUUUCAAAAUAAAAUUAUUACAUAAAACGUUUUAUAUUUACAAUAUAUUCUGUCAAAUUCAUCCCACGCAUGUAAUAAUUCGCCUCGCAUUUACUGUGCAUUUUGUGAAUGCUUAUAAAUGAACAAAAAUUGUUUUAAAGCGUUUUUAUGAAGUGUGACCAUCAUUAAAAAAAUACAAAAUGUAUGUUACUCAAAUUGUAAGGAUGUACAUAAUAGUUUUAGACAGAGAUCAAUGUUUAUUCAGAUACAUAUUAAAAUUGAUAUGUAUUUUCAGGUGUGAUAAAGCCAGGUAGAAAAUAGAUGUUGAUAACGGUUAGGCGAAAUUAAAGGAACAUAAAGUAUGCGAUUGGCGAUGUGUUUUGCGACAGCAGCAUUGGUAGUCUGAUUCUAUUUCCUAUCAUUAUUAUACCUGAAAAAUAUAUACGUAAUUUCAUGCAUAGUAAUAAUUUAUAUAGAAUCUUUAUUUGAUAUAAAACGAUAUUUUAAAAGCUUAUGUACGACAGUAGUGUCUUUGAGACACGUGAUGUUUUUGGUGAUAGUUGAAGAGCUAUUUUUUCAAUCGCCACUGAACUUUUAUCUGAAGAAUAGUACAGAUAUUUUGACAUUACAUAAUAUAAAGUUAUUAUUUCAGACAAAAGUUACAUGGCAUUGAAAAUCAGUAAUAAAUCGUGUGUUGAAGCGUGUAAAAAAUAUUUGUUGUGUUGAACCAAGCCCGGUUGGCGAAUUUUAACAUCAUUCGUGUAUUCAUGUUAGGAAGAACGUAAUAAGAAGGGCCAUGCAUAGACCACGUCAGAGCAUUCCCAAGCACACAUAUUACGUCGUUAAUGGAAUCACCCUAUAUCAAUGACGUAGAAUAUGUAUGUCCCGUUCGCGUUGGUUUAAAUGCAAAACACAUUUAGUUAUAUCAAGAUAGUAGAAAUUAAGGUUUGGACCACUUUAAAAAGACUAAUAGCAUGUCGUGGCCACAUGAUACCCAUAAUCAUUAGUUAAGACUGUUAAAUAUCAAUAUCGGUUACUACGCCCACGCUAUGGAUUUCAUAUGGCCUCCUGUGACUUAUUUCUGGCGACAAGUGAUUGUGAAAGCAUUUCCUUGUUGAUAUUCCGUGUGUACUUUACAUUGAUCACCAGAUAAGUAGUAUUUUUUUUUACAAAAUCUAAUAUUAUUUACAAAUAAUGACAGUAAACUAGAAGUUAACACAGUAAUAAAAUAAAGUGGAUCUUAAUCAGAUACAUUUUAUCACAUACACAUUACACCUGCAAAGCUAUAAUCAUAAGCAGUCAAAACGAUUUUGUUGAAAGUAUAGAAAAUUAAUACUGAUAUCCUCUAGUAGAAUCACAUAGCAAAAAUUCCUUCAUAUCGAUUAUAGACAA